rnacentral:rRNA from 1 species
CACGUAGGGUGCGAGCGUUGUCCGGAAUUAUUGGGCGUAAAGAGCUCGUAGGCGGUGUGUCGCGUCGGCCGUGAAAACCUGCAGCUUAACUGUGGGCUUGCGGGUCGAUACGGGCAUCACUGGAGUUCGGCAGGGGGAGACUGGAAUUCCUGGUGUAGCGGUGAAAUGCGCAGAUAUCAGGAGGAACACCGGUGGCGAAGGCGGGUCUCUGGGCCGAUACUGACGCUGAGGAGCGAAAGCGUGGGGAGCGAACAGG